UACAGAGGGUGCGAGCGUUGUCCGGAAUCACUGGGCGUAAAGGGCGCGUAGGCGGCUGGCUAAGCGGGUGGUGAAAGCCCGGGGCUCAACCCCGGGUCGGCCAUGCGAACUGGUCAGCUGGAGCACGGUAGAGGCACAUGGAAUUCCGGGUGUAGCGGUGGAAUGCGUAGAGAUCCGGAAGAACACCGGUGGCGAAGGCGGUGUGCUGGGCCGGUACUGACGCUGAGACGCGAAAGCGUGGGGAGCGAACAGG
rnacentral:rRNA from 1 species